CCAGGGAGAGCGCGUGUGUGCACAGGCAGGCAUGGGUGUGAAUAUGCGUGGACGCACUUUUCCCUCUGUCCCAGGCAGACAGCCACCUCCAGCCCUGGGCAGGGACUGCUGGGACAAGGGCAGCAGCGCCACCUCCUGGAGAGAGGCGGGGCCGAGUGGGCAGUGCGGAGGCAGCAUGCUGGGGCACGGGUGAGGGCUGAGGCCUGGCUGUGGGAGAGCAGCUGGGGGCGGGGGUGAGAGCCCAGCUCGGGGAGCCGGAAGGAGGCCCAGCCCCACGGUGAGUCUGUCUCCUCAUCUGUGACCUGUGGACCCUUGCUCGGGAGUGAGGGACACUGGCUGGAAGAUGCCUCCUCUGACCUGACCGCGGUGGACACUCUCUGGGAGCUGGAGAGGCCUCCAAGGAUGCAAAGAGAUGGGAAUGGCUGGGACAGUAACGCCAGAGCCGGUGGAGCAGAAGAGGCGAAUAAAGGGGAGAAGGUGGAAGCCACUGGCCUUGGGCUGAGGAUCACACUUAAAAUAUAGCAAUUAUUGGGAGUUCCCGUUGUGGCGCAGCGAUAACGAAUCCACUUAGUAUCCGCGAGGAUGCGGGUUCAAUCCCUGGCCUCGCUCAGGGGGUUGACAAUCCAG